GACAGAGGGUGCAAGCGUUGUCCGGAAUUAUUGGGCGUAAAGAGCUCGUAGGCGGUUUGUCGCGUCUGCUGUGAAAACUCGGGGCUUAACCCCGGGCCUGCAGUGGGUACGGGCAGACUAGAGUGCGGUAGGGGAGACUGGAAUUCCUGGUGUAGCGGUGAAAUGCGCAGAUAUCAGGAGGAACACCGGUGGCGAAGGCGGGUCUCUGGGCCGUAACUGACGCUGAGGAGCGAAAGCGUGGGGAGCGAACAGG
rnacentral:rRNA from 1 species